GGGCCGGUGGCGAAACUGGCAUACGCGCGGGACUUAAAAUCCUGUGUCCUCGGACGUGGGGGUUCGACUCCCCCCCGGCCCACAA
rnacentral:tRNA from 1 species